CCCUUAGAUGUUCUGGGCCGCACGCGCGCUACACUGUUCGACGCAGCGAGUCUUAACCUUGACCGAAAGGUUUGGGUAAUCUUCAGCAAAGUCGAACGUGAUGGGGAUCGAUCAUUGCAAUUAUUGAUCGUGAACGAGGAAUUCCUAGUAAGUGCAAGUCAUCAGCUUGCGUUGAUUACGUCCCUGCCCUUUGUACACACCGCCCGUCGCUACUACUGAUUGGAUGUUUAAGCGAGGUUCUCGAACUGCUAGUGACUGAUCUUCGGUGAGGUCGCAGUGUGGGAAGUGAACCUAGCUUUGGUGUCUAGAGGAAGUAAAAGUCGUAACA
rnacentral:rRNA from 1 species